AGUCGCCGCGGUAAUACAGAGGGUGCGAGCGUUAAUCGGAUUUACUGGGCGUAAAGCGCGCGUAGGCGGUUACUCAAGUCAGAGGUGAAAGCCCGGGGCUCAACCCCGGAACUGCCUUUGAAACUAGGUGACUAGAAUCUUGGAGAGGUCAGUGGAAUUCCGAGUGUAGAGGUGAAAUUCGUAGAUAUUCGGAAGAACGCCAGUGGCGAAGGCGACUGACUGGACAAGUAUUGACGCUGAGGUGAGAAAGCGUGGGGAGCAAACAGGAUUAGAUACCCGAGUAGUCCCUGUCUCUUAUACA
rnacentral:rRNA from 1 species